rnacentral:rRNA from 1 species
CAUGUCUUUUUGAUUAUAAUUUAAGGUCUAAUCUGCUCAAUGAGGAUUUAAAUUGCCGCGGUAUUUUGACCGUGCAAAGGUAGCAUAAUAAUUAGUUUUUUUAUUGAAAGCUGGAAUGAACGAUUGGACGAGAGAAUAGCUGUCUCUGAAGGAUUAUUUUUUGAAUUUAACUUUUAAGUUAAAAGGCUUAAAUUAAUUUUAAAGACGAGAAGACCCUAUAGAGUUUGAUGACUUUGUGUAUUAAGAAUUUUUGGUUAUUUAUAUUUUAAUAUUUUUCGUUAUUUGGUUGGGGUGAUCUGAAGAUUAAAUAAACUCUUCUAUAUUUAUUAGUCACUGAUUUGUGAACAUAUAAUCUAAUUUUUUUAAAUUUAAAAUAAAUUACCUUAGGGAUAACAGCGUAAUUUUUCUUUAGAGUUCUUAUUAAAAGAAAAGUUUGCGACCUCGAUGUUGGAUUAAAAUUAAUUUUUGGUGCAGGAGCUAAAAAAUUGGGUCUGUUCGACCUUUAAAAUUUUACAUGAUCUGAGU